UUUUACAGAGAGACAAGUGUUUGCUGAGUUCAACAGGAUAGCCACGACAAACCUGGAGAAUGACUUUUUUGGUGCUGUUGACCGCUACACACCACGCUUUGUCACAAUCUUCAAGUCCAAGAAAGGAAGUGUUGGAGAGAAACUGGCUGAGAUUGUGCAGCAAAUUGAUUCAAGGAAACCAGAUGUGACAGCAGUGCGUGCCCUUGUUCUCCAAGGCAUCCCUG